AGUGAUAUUUGAGGCAGAACUGAAGUGCCUGGUAUCAGGGCAGGGGCUGGGGCACAGCUUCUUCCCAGACAGAACUGCAGACAGCGGCCAAUGUUCCUUUUCUGAGCCCUACCCCACAGAGAGCCAA